rnacentral:tRNA from 1 species
UUAGUAAAGGCCGAAUGGCGUUUUUUUGUUAAGAAUAUGGUUGGGAUUUAUCUCUUACUAAG